UACGUAGGGGGCAAGCGUUGUCCGGAUUCAUUGGGCGUAAAGAGCGUGUAGGCGGCCAGGUAGGUCGGUUGUGAAAACUGGAGGCUCAACCUCCAGACGUCGACGGAAACCGCGUGGCUAGAGUCCGGAAGAGGAGAGUGGAAUUCCUGGUGUAGCGGUGAAAUGCGCAGAUAUCAGGAAGAACACCAAUGGCGAAGGCAGCUCUCUGGGACGGUACUGACGCUGAGACGCGAAAGCGUGGGGAGCGAACAGG
rnacentral:rRNA from 1 species